GACGAACGCUGGCGGCGUGCCUAAUACAUGCAAGUAGAACGCACAGUUUAUACCGUAGCUUGCUACACCAUAAACUGUGAGUUGCGAACGGGUGAGUAACGCGUAGGUAACCUGCCUGGUAGCGGGGGAUAACUAUUGGAAACGAUAGCUAAUACCGCAUAAUAUUAAUUAUUGCAUGAUAAUUGAUUGAAAGAUGCAAUUGCAUCACUACCAGAUGGACCUGCGUUGUAUUAGCUAGUAGGUGAGGUAACGGCUCACCUAGGCGACGAUACAUAGCCGACCUGAGAGGGUGAUCGGCCACACUGGGACUGAGACACGGCCCAGACUCCUUCGGGAGGCAGCAGUAGGGAAUCUUCGGCAAUGGACGAAAGUCUGACCGAGCAACGCCGCGUGAGUGAAGAAGGUUUUCGGAUCGUAAAGCUCUGUUGUAAGAGAAGAACGGGUGUGAGAGUGGAAAGUUCACACUGUGACGGUAUCUUACCAGAAAGGGACGGCUAACUACGUG
rnacentral:rRNA from 1 species